rnacentral:rRNA from 1 species
UCAUACGUACAUUCCUACAACAUAGUGUUAAUGCACUUAAUCCUAUUAGAACUCUGCAGUUAAGUGCGUUCGGGCUAGAGUACUACUGGGAUGGGUUACCACCUGGGAAUUCCUAGUAUUUUACAUGCC